rnacentral:rRNA from 1 species
UACGAAGGGGGCUAGCGUUGUUCGGAUUUACUGGGCGUAAAGCGCACGUAGGCGGAUCGUUAAGUGAGGGGUGAAGUCCCAGGGCUCAACCCUGGAACUGCCUUUCAUACUGGCGAUCUAGAGUCCGGAAGAGGUGAGUGGAACUCCUAGUGUAGAGGUGGAAUUCGUAGAUAUUAGGAAGAACACCAGUGGCGAAGGCGGCUCACUGGUCCGGUACUGACGCUGAGGUGCGAAAGCGUGGGGAGCAAACAGG